rnacentral:sRNA from 1 species
UGCGCUGUAAAGGAUAAAUAGCAAAGGGC